UAUUACCCCUAAGUUAAAAAAAAAAGAUGAAAAUGUGAAUAUGAAUACGAAAAUUUAAUCACCAUAUUCAACUUAAAAUUACCAACAUGAUACUCAUGUGGUAAGGAGAAUGCCGUAUAUGCAAAUAUCAAUUUGCUUGGGCCACUUAAAAAAAAAAAAAUAUGAGGGGGCUAAGUGUAAAAAAAACCUUUAAUUUUUUAGGCUUAAAUGCAUACAGGUCUCUGCAAACAUAGUGAAUCCCUACAAAAGUUCUAAUAUUUUUGAAUAUAUCCAUACCGUUAGAAUCCGUUAAAAAGAUUUAAUUAACCAAUAGAUUAAACACUUAACCCUGAUUAAUUUAUGAGAUAACUUAACAUUUUUACCUUUCUUAUAUUAUUCUCUUGUGGCUUUUGCAGGGACAUUUAUGAUGGUAAAAUUGAUAUUUUAUUUAUUUACUGUUAAAAUAUAAACCGUUUCCGAACAGUAAUAAAUCAUAUAUAUAUAUAUAUAGGAAAACUUUAAAAACACCCCCUGGGGUUUCAUAGUUUUUCACUUUGCCCCCUGUGGUUUAAAAUGUAUCAAUUUGCCCCCCUGUGGUUUCUUUUUUCUCUUUUUCUUAUCAAAUUUUAUUAAUUUUUUUUUUAAAUCAGUGAUAAAGUUAAAAUUAAAGGGUACUAAGGUGAAUAUUUGAUAAAUCUAGAUGGGUAUUUGAAUUUUUUUAUAUAUAAUUUAAUAAAAUAUUAACAAAAAAACUACCGAAAAGAUAAAAACGAAACCACAGGGAUGCAAUUUGAUACAUUUUAAACCACAGGGAGGCAAAGUGAGAAACGACGAAACCACCGGGAGUAUUUUUGAAGCUUUUUCUAUAUAUAUUUGAAAAUAUUAGAAGUGUUGAUA
rnacentral:lncRNA from 1 species